GAUGAACGCUAGCUACCGGUUUAACACAUGCAAGUCGAGGGGCAGCAUGAAAGGAACUUCGGUUCUUUUUGAUGGCGACCGGCGCACGGGUGCGUAACGCGUAUCGAACCUGCCUCAUACUCGGGGAUAGCCUUGCGAAAGUAAGAUUAAUACCCGGCGGUCUCGGAUGGCCGCAUGACUGUCCGAGUGAAGAUUUAUCGGUAUGAGAUGGCGAUGCGUCCCAUUAGCUUGUUGGUGAGGUAAUGGCUCACCAAGGCAUCGAUGGGUAGGGGUUCUGAGAGGAAGGUCCCCCACAUUGGAACUGAGACACGGUCCAAACUCCUACGGGAGGCAGCAGUGAGGAAUAUUGGUCAAUGGACGAAAGUCUGAACCAGCCAAGUAGCGUGCAGGACGACGGCCCUCUGGGUUGUAAACUGCUUUUAGUUGGGAAUAAAAAGAGGGACGUGUCCCUUAUUGUAUGUACCAUCAGAAAAAGGACCGGCUAAUUCCGUGCCAGCAGCCGCGGUAAUACGGAAGGUCCAGGCGUUAUCCGGAUUUAUUGGGUUUAAAGGGAGCGCAGGCGGCGGCGUAAGUCAGUUGUGAAAUCGUGCGGCUUAACCGUGCAAUUGCAGUUGAUACUGCGUCGCUUGAGUGCACACAGGGAUGUUGGAAUUCAUGGUGUAGCGGUGAAAUGCUUAGAUAUCAUGAAGAACUCCGAUCGCGAAGGCAUAUGUCCGGAGUGCAACUGACGCUGAGGCUCGAAAGUGUGNGUAUCAAACAGG
rnacentral:rRNA from 1 species